GGGGCGCUGUGGCAGCCAUAUGGUCACCCCUGGCGGCCAUUUUAGGUCGUCGCGGUGCCCUCCGGUCACGUACGGGGCCUCCCGUCUCCCGCACUGCCCCGGCCGGCGUGAGGCGGGCACGGGUCCGCUGCUCCUGGGCAGGGCGAUGGCGUACCCCGGCCCUGUCCCACUGAGCGCCCCGAUGGGCCCUGGCAGUGUGCUUCAAAAGCAGAGCCCAUCCCUAGAAGAAGAAGUGCUUGCAGUUGCCCCAGUAAUGAAUGGCUGGGACGCGAUCCAGUGGGAAGGCGAGCCCGUACUCUGGCUCUUAGAAAACCUCCUUGGUACACGAGGGAGAAAACAAAAUGCCCCGCAUGAGUGAGGUAAUGAAGCACUUUGGAGACAAGGAAUAUGUGCUCUGCAAGGCAAGAGAAAGAGCUGUUUUCCAGUGGCCUCCCAGGCCAGGAGUUGCACAUCUUUUGGACACAUGCUGGCCUUGUGCAGCCCGCUGGGGAGAUGGGCUGCGCAAAGCCUCCUGAUGGUCUGGUGGAGAAGAACAGCUACAGGAGAGGAACAGGGAUGGAGACACGGUGAGGGGACCCACGUGGCUGCUGCCUUCAGACUAUGGGAAAGAAUUGAGGUACCAUCAGCAUGAAGGCCGUUGCUGACCGAAGACCGCUCACUGCUUGUCCCUCGCUGGUUCCACGCUCCCGUCCCCACAGCACACUCAGCCUCACAGAGCGCCACUUCUGAGCACCCUCAGGGAGUGCGGGUGGGGAGAGAACACCACCAACCCACAGCGUUUGUCCCUACCUGUGGAGGAAGUGCAGUGUGCCUAUCUCAUGGCAGAACACUGAGGGGCUGUGGCACGAGCAGUGAAGAGGCAGAACAAGACUGGUCCUCUGUUGCCCGGGCGUCGCUGCACCGUAGCUGCCCGGUCUCAGAGGCUGCCAUUAAAUGCUGGGGGCAAGGAGGGACAGUGCACACAUCUCCUUGGCAGGCAGACAGCAGCAAGGUUGCUGGCUCAGGGUGGUGUUUGUCCCUGUGCCUGGGGAGAAACACCCCAUCUCUGUGUGUUUGCAAAGUAAGAGGGAAAGGAGGAUCUUCUGUGUUCCCUUUCUGCAGCACAAGAAAUCAAUGUCAGGGAUGGGAAUAAAGGCAACAGAGGCAAUGCUCGUACAAAAGCAGCCCAGCAAAAGGAAGGUGUCAGCAGCCAUGGGCGUACCGAGAGGAGCACGGACACUCAGAAGAUCUGCUGGCCAAGUGAGCAGUGAGAGGCUGGCUUGUGAUUGCAAAAGACAAGCCCCCAAAUGCUCUCUGUCAGAAAAUAACUCUGAAGUCCUCCCAAGGCUUGCAUAGCACCUGGAGGAGGAGAAAGGUCUGUGUGUGCGAGCUGGAGUUGUGCAGAUGGCAAAGGGAGGCCUAGUGCAAAUAGCAGAGAGAGAGAGAACAAGAGGGCAAACAAUUGCCAGCUUGAAACAAGGAAGGCUGAAGCAUUUGGGGACAGCUGUUCAGUGAUGGAAGGAGCUGGUAACCAUUUAAUACUGGAAGAGAACCCAGAGAGCCUAGGACGUUCGAAGUAGCUAGUGAGGGGCUCUGUGAGAUGACAACGCUGCUGUCUCCAGAGACAUGGUGAAAGUCUAAGAUGAUGGAUGUGCUGCCCUUCUGUGUCUUGGUGGUGGUGAGAACUGCAGCAGUGUUUGGAGAAAGAGGAAUCUCUCCUGAAGGCUGAAAGUCGACUUUGUAUGGAGUGACUGAGCAGGUGGAGAGGGAACGUGACCCAUGCGUCUUUGUGAAGGCACGAAAGCAUUAAGGUGGGAAACAUAUUGUGCUGUUCCUUCUUUUCCCCUAGGAACUUGGGGAAAAUGAGGUAUUUUAAAGCCUCAAAUAUUUUGCUUUCAGAGAAGUGUGUAAAUUGGGGAACAUUUUUUUCUUGAUCUGAGAAGUAGCAAUGCCUCUGCAGCAUAGGAUAUCUGUACAUUUUAAACCCAGUGACACUGACUCACUGACUUUUCCCAAACUCUAGUAAGUAAUGACUUGCAGUGGUGACAGAUAAAAGCUCCUUGAAGCUGGAAAAGCCUUUGAACAGGGAGCUGAUGUUAAUAGCAACAGUUUUGGCCUCAUGGGGGUCCUGGCUUCCAAGAGGGAGUUGCUGUGCGAUUGAAAAGAUAAAAUGAAAACUGAGGGUGGCAAACUUAAGCAGUCAGCUGGCAUCAGGGCAUAGGUGCCAAACCGAACCUUUGGUCCAACAUGUGGGUAUACUGCAAGUUGUGAAAUGGCACUGUGGGGUUGUUGAUUUCCCCUCAGUAUUUCUUGAGGGGAGAAUAGUUUAAAAAGCAAACAAACAUCCAAACACCACCAUCAAAAAACCCUGCUACAUUUGUAACUCAGAAUUGUUUGGUGAGAAAAUGAAUAGCAAUAUCACUCUUGCAAUGCACUGUUUACUCUAGUUUUGGGGACUGCACAGUGUAAAGCAGUCAGUAAAUUAGUAUGUCAUCUGGUUGCUAUGAGCUUGUUAAGGGUU